GCUGGCGGCAGGCCUAACACAUGCAAGUCGAGCGGUAACAUUUCUAGCUUGCUAGAAGAUGACGAGCGGCGGACGGGUGAGUAACGCGUAGAAAUCUACCUAGUAGUGGGGGAUAGCCCAGAGAAAUUUGGAUUAAUACCGCAUACGCCCUACGGGGGAAGCGGGGGAUCUUCGGACCUCGUGCUAUUAGAUGAGUCUGCGUCGGAUUAGCUUGUUGGUGAGGUAAUGGCUCACCAAGGCGACGAUCCGUAGCUGGUCCGAGAGGAUGACCAGCCACACUGGAACUGAGACACGGUCCAGACUCCUACGGGAGGCAGCAGUGGGGAAUAUUGCACAAUGGGCGCAAGCCUGAUGCAGCCAUGCCGCGUGUGUGAAGAAGGCCUUAGGGUUGUAAAGCACUUUCAGCAGUGAGGAAAGGGGUGUCGUUAAUAGCGCCAUCUUGUGACGUUAACUGCAGAAGAAGGACCGGCUAACUCCGUG
rnacentral:rRNA from 1 species